CUUCAGUGAACCGAUCCAGACCGGACGGUCGCCGGGCCGGUCCUGACCGUACGUCGCCAGCAGCGCCUGCGCCUC
rnacentral:antisense_RNA from 1 species